rnacentral:lncRNA from 1 species
UAAAUUUUUUUUAAAGAAUAAAAAAUAUAGCCGCCCGGCUAUACUAUUUGUAACAUAAAAAAGACCAGCCCAGAGCAUAGGCACACGUGUCAAAAGGGUACAGCCGGUCGGCUGUACUGUUUUCUUAAAAAAGGAAAACACGUGUAUAGCCGCGCGGCUAUACUAUUUCUUGAAAAAAAAAAGAAAAAGAAUCUGGUAUAGCC